UACGUAGGGGGCAAGCGUUGUCCGGAAUUAUUGGGCGUAAAGAGCGUGUAGGCGGUCCGGUAAGUCAGCUGUGAAAGUCAAGGGCUCAACCCUUGAAUGCCGGUUGAUACUGUCGGGCUAGGAGUCCGGAAGAGGCGGAGUGGAAUUCCCGGUGUAGCGGUGAAAUGCGCAGAUAAUCGGGAGGAGCACCAAUGGCGGAAGGCAGCUCCGCUGGGACGGUACUGACGCUGGAGACGCGAAAGCGUGGGAGCAAACAGG
rnacentral:rRNA from 1 species